rnacentral:lncRNA from 1 species
CUUGCCUUUCCUUCAAAGAUCUUAUAGGCUCUGAUACCACUGAAGGAAUUUUAUCACAAAGAGGAAGAAAAGAUGAAAACUUAAAAGAAGAAAAUGAGCUACAAUCUUCAUUAUUACCAGUUGCCAAUACAUAUAAGAUACAAAAGGAUUACAACCAUGUUGUUCACUACCAACUUCUACCAACUACAGCCAUACUUUGACAGAUUAAUACCAGGCUUUGAUAGACACUUUGAUAACAAAAAUAAACAUUACAUAGACUUAAUUUUAAUACUUAAAGUCACAAUACAAAAGGUGACAGCAAAAGUGGCCACAAAUAUCAAUAAAAGGGUUGCUGUGUGUGGAUUAACAGCAACAAUAACAAUUAAGCCUUGUUCUGAACAAAUUUGGGGUCGACUACAUGAAUCCUUGUUUACCAAUCCGCACACCUGCAAUCUGUUCUAGCUUGUAAUAACACGAAUACCCUAUUCUUCCCUGAUCUUGAUUCACAGUAGAGGCACUUCACUCUCGUAGUAGCUAAUUAGAGAGGUCGACUCUAUAGAGAAUUAUUCAAAACGAAAGAAGAAAGCCCGUCAACCAAUCCACCAGAGACAGGUUGUUUCAGAUAUCUAACACAUUAUUUUGUCAAGUCCGGUUGUGGAUGGGAUCUGACCCUCUUCUAACACUUCGUUCGCUCGACCAAUUUGGAUCAGAAGUAUUGCUUGUGUGUGCUGGUUUCUUAUCAGUCUUGAAUCCCUUCACAACAGCGGCCUUUCGCUGAUUCUUUACCAUUUCACGAUAAUCUUCUCCACUACGUCGUAGAUCCAGGUCUAUACUUCUCAGACAACAAACUUGUUCUGCAUGAAAUGCUAAUAGUCCUAUUCCUAUACAGAUGAAUAGAACAAAUGUCCUAUGACUAUAAACAAACAUAGUUUUGUUUUUAGGGGAAAAUAAGAUUUCUAAGAGUAUGCUUUCUUGGUGUCAGUGUAUGUUCCUAUGUUCCAUUCCUGUAGAUAUAAGCCUAUGAUUAUUUCUGAUAGUUUUGGUGGGGAAUUUACAGCAAAAAGCCAGAAGGAACCAGAAUCCAUUGUGGAGUUAUAGAUUCAAUUCAAUCAUAAAUCUUCUAUCCAAGUAAAUUAAAGCUGUUAUUGAAGAAUCUGACUGAGAUGAAUAAAGGUAAUUGGAACAAAACCCUCGAGAAGCUAAGCAUCUUUUUCUGUUUGUUCCCCUUUUGUGCGAAAACAAAGACCUAUCUUGUACUUUGAACUCAUGGCCCUCCG